rnacentral:misc_RNA from 1 species
GAUGAAGAACGCAGCGAAAUGCGAUAAGUAAUGUGAAUUGCAGAAUUCAGUGAAUCAUCGAAUCUUUGAACGCACAUUGCGCCCCCCAGUAUUCUGGCGGGCAUGCCUGUUCGAGCGUCAUUUCAACCAUCAAGCCCUGCUUGUGUUGGGGUCCUGCGGCUGCCCGCAGGCCCUGAAAACCAGUGGCGGGCUCGCUAGUCACACCGAGCGCAGUAGCACAUCUCGCUCAGGGCGUGCGGCGGGCUCCAGCCGUUAAAGCACCCGCCUUUCGCAAGGUUGACCUCGGAUCAGGUAGGAAUACCCGCUGAACUUAAGCAUAUCAAUAAGCGGAGGA